AGAUUCUGUUUUUCUGGGGCCUAUUAAAAUGUUUGAUUCAGAAUUAAAUCCUAUUUUCUGGGGCCUAUAGGAUUUAAUUCUGAAUGCUACAGAAUUCAAAAAGAAAACCACGAAAUUGAAUAGGUGUUCAAUUAAAAUGUCUGCAAAACUUAAUACUAUGUCAACUUCAUUGAUGGCUAAAUUUAGUAUUCAUAAAAAUUUCAUUAAUUGGACACCAGUUUGAAGGGUAGGUCUUUCUCUCCACAGGAAUUCCUAGGUGCAUGUGAUGAUUGCCAGGAAGUCUUAGCCACUGUCAAUAAAACGAGGUACCCAUGGCCAAGUCAUUGCAACGGCAAAAGGAUUUUUAAAGAUCUUGUCAGCAGAGACUUCCCUGGUGGUCCAGUGGUUAGGACCUCACCAUCCAGUGCAGGGGGCUCAGGUUCGAUCCCUGGUGGGGGAACUAAGAUCCCACAUGCCACGGGCCUACGGAGCCCUUGUGGGCAGCUAGGACCCCGUGCAGCCAAAAAUAAAUAAAUACAUAUUUUUUUAAUAUCAUGUCAACAGUCUUAGUGACGAUGAGAGAGGUAGGUACAUUUGAAUACGUGUGAUGUGAUAGGGGGAGUCUCCAAAAGUAGGGGUGCCCACGUGUCAAAAUAGCACAGCACUUGGGACACCUUGGGGCCAGGGAGGCAGCAUUCAGGGGAAUUCUGCUCGGUACCAUCCCCCAGUCCCCUUCGGGUGGCCCAAGUCCUGCCCGGCUCCCAGCACCUCCUUGGCUAAGCCCUUACCUCUCUUUUAAGUUUCUAUCAUAGCAACAGCCCCAGGGCCAGAUCCCUAAUUGCCAGCUUCUUCUAAGUGCCAGGAAAAAAAAAAAAAACCUCUCCAGCCCUCCCCCCACUCUGCAACACAAGCCCAGGGGGUCAGGCAGGUUCAAAAGGUGAAAUAAAUGAAUCUUUACACAUUAUAAGGACCCAAGCAACAUUCUCUGUGGCAUUAGUGCCUGAAAUGGCAGCAAGUAAAAGCAGGUGUGCUGAGCGCCCUGUCAGCUAACGACACUGAUAAGCCUGCCAUGCCCGGUUCUGCUUCAUUUCAAACAGACUGCUGGAAAAAAAAGGAGGGGAAAGCCAGAGCAGAAAUAAUUGCUGGAGCUUCCAGUGAGCUGAGGGCCUGCAGGCAGAGAUCAACGCUCCUGAUUUCAUCCUCUUCCUUUUAUUUCUAUAACCUUAAACGUUCUGCUAUUAUAAAAGUCAUCAUGUCAGCUUUCUCCCCAGCCUCUCCGGCUGCCCAUUUUCAAAUUGUAUCAAUUGGUAAGGCUUUGGGGCUGUAGGAUUUUCAUCUUGAUUUAUGGUUCCUGUGCUUUUAAAGAUGAAGCAAACUCAACUAGCCUGACUCAGGCAUGGAGCCACGCUGUCCUGGAAACCGGAGGAGUGAGGCAUGGGGGAGCCUGACAGGAAGUGAGGAUUCUGGGACUUCAAAUACACACAUUAGAAAAAACAAGCAACAUCUGCAAACAAUUCUGAGCUCUGUGAGGACAGACAGCAUGAUGGCUUCAUUCACCACUGUCUACACCUGCACCCUUGUCUACACCUGCAUGCACUGUUCAGUAUAGUAGCCACUGUUCCUUUGAAAUGAGGCAAGUUGAAUUCAGAAGGGCUGGAAGAGUCAAAGAAACACUGGAUUUCAAAGAUGUAGAACGAAGACAACGUAAAAGGAAACUGAGAAGAAUGCAAUUCCGUGGACUCAAGUUUUAAAGAACUUCUGGAAGCUUCAGAAAUAGGUUGAAAAACACUCCAUCCAGUGACAAAGAUCCUGCAUUGAGUAUCAGGCAUGGAGGAACCCUGAGAAGAACCUGAACACUUCAAGGAGUCCAGGAGAACCUCUAAUACCAGAAGGGCCACGCUAAGGAUGAGGAUGACCCAGAAGUAGCCAAUGGAGGCAUUUGAACACAGCCCUUUUUAAGAUUCUAAUGACAAUCCAGCCACUACCAGUGAUGGGUGGGGUCACCAGGGUGAAAUUGAUGUGCGCUUCCUGUCUCCUGGGCUCCCUGUGGUCCCCAGGCUCUGGCUCCUUGCCUUAUAGAUAGUGAUGGGUGGUAAAGACCCAGGGAAAAGUCAUCAUUGUGUCAUGCUUUUUCAAAGCAUAAAUUUUUCACAGCCCUUGUAUGAAAAAAAAAAAAAAAAAAGCAGCAUCUUCAUUCUCAGAUUCUAAAAUGCUGAAUUUAGAGAUUUUUGUUUUCAAGUUGGAGGUGGGAGAUGGGAACCAGAAGCCAAGCCAUAUCUUCAUUUUGAAAGUGAAGCCAACCCAGUUUUCUCAUUUUUCUUUCUGGUUUUUGUUUUUCCAGCGGGGGGGCGGGGGAAAAAAAAAAUCUCUCUCUCUCUCUCUCUCUAGGAAUGUCUUUUGAGUUCUUUCCCUAAUUCAUAUCAAAUAAAAAUCAAUUAGUCUCAUGUUUUACAAAGUGCUUUGAGACAUACAUAAUUUCAUUUGCCCCUCAAACUCAUGCUUGUAAUUAGGUAGCCCAGGUAUUAUUGUGCCCAUUAAACAGACGAUCAUUGGGAAAACUGAGGCCCAGAGAAUUUAAGUGGCUUGCCCACAGUCAUAGGGUGGCAGAGCUGACUCUCAAGUCCAGAACUUCUAAGAGUGGUAUUCUUAUUCCUUCACCAAUGACCAUAAAACGUUGACCUAAUAGCCUUCAUGAAGGAAAAGCCUUGGCGUCAUUCAUGGGAGCUGAGAUGGUCCUAAAAGAGUGAACAGAAUGAAGAGGAGCGGCUAUUACACAUGAAAUUUUCUGUUGAGAGCUCGCCUUGGUCUUCGACUCAUUCUCUUUAAUUAAUCGGGAGAGUAGUGGGAGCUGCCAUCGCUCCUGCCUGGUCUAUUCCCUGCCUCCUGGUCCACUCCUGGGAGCCUUGGAGGAUGCAGCGGGCAGCCCAUCACUCAAGCAGAAGCAGCCCAAGUGACUUCACUGCGGAGGGACCUGGAGAUGGGUGGUCGGAGGCCCCAGGGAGGGAAGGUAUCUGCCCUCUUAAUGCAGAUGAGGUCUCCAAACCUCUCCCGUGGGACUUGCCCGUGGCUGAGGACAAGGCUCUCUGAACUCUGGAGUUAGUC